rnacentral:rRNA from 1 species
CUACCAUGCAAGUCGAGCGGUAACAGAUCCAGCUUGCUAGGAUGCUGACGAGCGGCGGACGGGUGAGUAAUGCAUAGGAAUCUGCCCGAUAGUGGGGGAUAACCUGGGGAAACCCAGGCUAAUACCGCAUACGUCCUACGGGAGAAAGGGGGCUCCGGCUCCCGCUAUGGGAUGAGCCUAUGUCGGAUUAGCUAGUUGGUGAGGUAACGGCUCACCAAGGCCACGAUCCGUAGCUGGUCUGAGAGGAUGAUCAGCCACAUCGGGACUGAGACACGGCCCGAACUCCUACGGGAGGCAGCAGUGGGGAAUAUUGGACAAUGGGGGCAACCCUGAUCCAGCCAUGCCGCGUGUGUGAAGAAGGCCCUCGGGUUGUAAAGCACUUUCAGCGAGGAAGAACGCCUAGCGGUUAAUACCCGCUAGGAAAGACAUCACUCGCAGAAGAAGCACCGGCUAACUCCGUGCCAGCAGCCGCGGUAAUACGGAGGGUGCAAGCGUUAAUCGGAAUUACUGGGCGUAAAGCGCGCGUAGGUGGCUUGAUAAGCCGGUUGUGAAAGCCCCGGGCUCAACCUGGGAACGGCAUCCGGAACUGUCAAGCUAGAGUGCAGGAGAGGAAGGUAGAAUUCCCGGUGUAGCGGUGAAAUGCGUAGAGAUCGGGAGGAAUACCAGUGGCGAAGGCGGCCUUCUGGACUGACACUGACACUGAGGUGCGAAAGCGUGGGUAGCAAACAGGAUUAGAUACCCUGGUAGUCCACGCCGUAACGAUGUCGACCAGCCGUUGGGUGCCUAGCGCACUUUGUGGCGAAGUUAACGCGAUAAGUCGACCGCCUGGGGAGUACGGCCGCAAGGUUAAAACUCAAAUGAAUUGACGGGGGCCCGCACAAGCGGUGGAGCAUGUGGUUUAAUUCGAUGCAACGCGAAGAACCUUACCUACUCUUGACAUCCUGCGA